CAAAAGGGGGAGAUGUCAGGGCAGGAACACCAGAUGUGGAGCAUAUUGCCUGAUGUGGAACCACAGCGUCAGUAUUCCUCAGGGACUGCAGCGUUCAUAUGGUGUAUUACUUCAGGUUCUGUAUCAGUUUAUUAUAUAUGUUAUAUAUGUUAUAUGUGUUAUUGCUCAUUGUGACGAAAUGCCUUUUGUCACUGGAUUGUUAGGUGACAAGCUGCCUUUUGCCCCCAGCUGUUGGAGGAGCCUGAUUGCCAGCCUCCUUCCUCAUGACUAUGGCCCUGGGGUGUAUUGCCAUUUAAAAAGACUAUUUGGGGCUUAUUGGCUUCUAAAGACUGUUUCUGCCCAUUUGAAUCCAUGGGAAGGUGUGUUUCUUCCCCUCCCCCGUUUCCUGUCUAUUGUUCUCCAGCAGGGCGUUGUCCCAGGCACACUGCCAAACCAGUUGGAACUGACUGCUUUUGUCCCUCCUUGGUUUCUCAACAGCCCUUGCUAUGCUUUACCCCAUGGCAAAUUUACUCUGUUCAUGGGAUCUGAGCGCUGUUCACCUAGAUUGGGCGCUCAGAUCUGAGCUAUCUGGGGAUAGGUUAAAUGUGGGGGUUCUGUGUAAUAUAAUAAGAAUUAUGUAUUUUUAUGUACUUUUAUGUAUUUUUGCUGUUAGUGUAAAAUGUAGAUAUUUUCUGUACCUGGAGAUAAUUGAGUGUACUGUUAUGGGCAAAUGCAAAUAUUACAAGUUUUAGAAUGAAAUGUUUUAUUUCUUAAACUGUGUACAUUGUCUUUAAGAGAUAUUGCAAACUGACAAGGUGUUAGAAAUGGAACAUAUUGUUUUUCAUAACUGUUUCUUUAAGCAAUAACUUCAGUGCAUAAUAUGUUUGCGCCAUUUUAUCCCAGACGAAUUACAAUAACAAUAAUGUAUAAACAAGCUUCAAGGCUAUGCUACGGCUCUUACAGUACACAAUAUACUGUGGUAACCCCAAGUUAAUGGAACUUCCCCAAAUCUGGGAAUCUCCCACGACUGUACACUUACGACUUAGUAUAAACAACAGAUAACCUAUUCAGACUUUAAGAUGCCAUCUUGAACUAAGUCAGGAAAAUUUCCAUGACGUUUGCACCCUUUAGUUAUGGCCUUGUAUGUUUGCCAAAUUAAGGGAGGUCCUAAAAUGAAUAAAGUAAAUGAACUACAGCAACCCUAAAAUAGAGACACCUAAGGUAUAAAUAUGUGUACUUUUAAAUGUUAAGAUACAGAGGAGAGACUUGGAGACAGACGAUGCCCCAUCUUAAAAUGACAGAGAGGCUGACAUGAUGACAUGUUCAGAAGGGUAUGUUAACCUAUUAAUGAUAUUUGCAAGCAUGUAAUUUAAUCUUACAAACUCUGCU